GCAAGCGUAGUUUACUAAAAACGUUGGAUUGUGAUUCCAAAAAAGAGGGUUAAACUCCCCCCGCCUGCC
rnacentral:tRNA from 1 species